rnacentral:sRNA from 1 species
GCCAGGUGUGGUGGCUCACACCUGUAAUCCCAGCACUUUGGGAGGUCGAGGCAGGUGGAUCACCUGAGGUCAGGAAUUCAAGACUAGCCUGGCCAACAUGGUGAAACCCUGUCUCUGCUAAAAAUAUAAAAAUUAGCCAGGCGUGGUGGCACAUGCCUGUAAUCCCAGCUACUGGGAAGGUUGAGGCACUUUGGGAGGCCGAGGCAGGUGGAUCACCUGAGGUCAGGAACUCAAGACCAGCCUGACCAACAUGGUGAAACCUCAUCUCU